AGAGAGAGACAUGCGCGCAUAUCAAUAAGCGGAGGAAAAGAAACUAACUAGGGAUUCCCUCAGUAACGGCGAGUGAAGCGGGAAGAGCUCAAAUUUGAAAUCUUCAAGGUUCUACCUUGACGAAUUGUAGUUUAAAGAAGUGUUUUCUGUUGGAGUUUUGGUAAAAGUUCUUUGGAAUAGGACAUCAUAGAGGGUGAGAAUCCCGUAUUUGACCAUUAUUUCCAGCUUUGUGAUACACUUUCAAAGAGUCGGAUUGUUUGGGAAUGCAGUCCAAAAUGGGUGGUAAAUUUCAUCUAAAGCUAAAUAUUGGCGAGAGACCGAUAGCGAACAAGUACCGUGAGGGAAAGAUGAAAAGAACUUUGAAAAGAGAGUUAAACAGUACGUGAAAUUGUCAAAAGGGAAGCGUUUGACACCAGUGUUGUUUUCUGAAAAUCAAUUAAAAGAACGGAUUUAUGCUAGUUGUAUUAGACUUUAUCAGCUACUGUUACUCUUUUCUUGUCUUUUUUAAUGCACUUUUCAGUUAACAAGUCAACAUCAAUUUCUUUUGUUGUAAAAGGGUCAUUGGAAGGUGGCUUUCUUUUCGGAGAAAGUGUUUAUAGCUCUUGCCUCUGCAGUCGGAGAGAUUGAGGUCUGCAGCGUAGAUCCUUCGGGGUUAGAUACAUUUGUGCUAAGUUAUAGCCUUUCAUAGACAACUUGUUGACUAUGAUCAGUCAUGUAGCUUACUCGCUUAUGCUAUUUUACCUACGCUUAGGAUGUUGAUGUGAUACUGCGAGCA
rnacentral:rRNA from 1 species